rnacentral:rRNA from 1 species
UGGGGAAUCUUGGACAAUGGGCGCAAGCCUGAUCCAGCCAUGCCGCGUGAGUGAUGAAGGCCCUAGGGUUGUAAAACUCUUUCGUGGGGGACGAUAAUGACGGUACCCCAAGAAGAAGCUCCGGCUAACUUCGUGCCAGCAGCCGCGGUAAUACGAAGGGGGCUAGCGUUGUUCGGAUUUACUGGGCGUAAAGCGCGUGUAGGCGGGCUGGAAAGUUGGGGGUGAAAUCCCGAGGCUCAACCUCGGAACU